GGGGGAUGCCUUGGCUCUCAGAGGCGAUGAAGGACGUGAUAAGCUGCGAUAAGCUUCGGGUAUUAGCAAAUAUGAAUUGAUCCGAAGAUUUCCGAAUGGGGAAACCUAACUAGUUGAAGACUAGUUGCAAUAGCGCAAACCUGCCGAACUGAAACAUCUAAGUACGCAGAGGAAGAGAAAAUAAUAAUGAUUUCCUAAGUAGUGGCGAGCGAAAGGGAAAGAGCCCAAACCAUAUAUGUUACGGCAUAUACGGGGUUGUAGGACCACAACAUGACUACUAAAGUGAACCGGAAAGGGGUGGGAAACCCUGCCAUAGAGCAUGAUAGCUGCGUAUGGGUAAGCAAUAGUAAGAUAGUGGUAUCCUGAGUACCGCGAGGUCGGAGACGCCUUGUGGGAAUCUGCCGGCACCAUCCGGUAAGGCUAAAUACUCCUGAGAGACCGAUAGUGAACUAGUACCGUGAGGGAAAGGUGAAAAGAACCCUAAGUAAGGGAGUGAAAGAGAACCUGAAACCGUACGCUUACAAGCGGUCGGAGCAUCUUCGGAUGUGACGGCGUGCCUUUUGCAUAAUGAGCCUACGAGUUACUGUUUCUAGCAAGGUUAAUUGAUUAAGUCAAGGAGCCGUAGCGAAAGCGAGUCUGAAUAGGGCGCUUUAGUUAGUAGUAGUAGACGCGAAACCGAGUGAUCUACCCAUGGGCAGGUUGAAGCUGUGGUAACACACAGUGGAGGACCGAACCAGUUGACGUUGAAAAGUCUUUGGAUGACCUGUGGGUAGGGGUGAAAGGCCAAUCAAACUCGGAAAUAGCUCGUACUCCCCGAAAUGCAUUUAGGUGCAGCGUUGAGUAAAAGUUUUAUAGAGGUAGAGCUACUGAUUGGAUGCGGGGGCUUCACCGCCUACCAAUUCCUGACAAACUCCGAAUGCUAUAAAAUGUUUCUCAGCAGUGAGGGCAUGGGUGCUAAGGUCCAUGUCCGAGAGGGAAAGAACCCAGACCAUCAGCUAAGGUCCCCAAAUAUAUGUUAAGUUGAAAAAACGAGGUUUGUCUGCCCAGACAGCUAGGAUGUUGGCUUGGAAGCAGCCAUUCAUUUAAAGAGUGCGUAACAGCUCACUAGUCGAGCGGACGAGCAUGGAUAAUAAUCGGGCAUAAACAUAUUACCGAAGCUAUGGACUUGUAAAAGUGGUAGGGGAGCAUUGUAACCUGCGUAGAAGGUGUGUUGUGAGACAUGCUGGAGUGGUUACAAAAGAAAAUGUAGGCAUAAGUAACGAUAAUGCGGGUGAGAAACCCGCACACCGAAAGACUAAGGUUUCCUCAGCGAUGCUAAUCAGCUGAGGGUUAGUCGGGUCCUAAGGCGAAUCCGAAGGGAGUAGUCGAUGGAUAACAGGUUAAUAUUCCUGUACUUCUUAUAAUUGCGAUGGGGUGACGGAGUAUUGAAAACACCGCGUACUGACGGAAUAGUACGUUAAAGACUGUAUUUAUAGGACCUGUAGGUAAAUCCGCAGGUUUUGGAGAAGGUCGAUAGUACCACAAAUCUUCGGAUGAGUGGAUAGUGUGUCUAAAAGCUUCCAAGAAAAACCUCUAAGCUUCAGAUUAUAAGAACCCGUACCGUAAACCGACACAGGUAGUUGGGAUGAGAAUUCUAAGGUGCUCGAGAGAUUCAUGGCUAAGGAACUAGGCAAAAUAGACCCGUAACUUCGGGAGAAGGGUCGCCCAUCUUCGGAUGGGCCGCAGUGAAAAGGUCCAGGCGACUGUUUAUCAAAAACACAGGGCUUUGCUAAAUUGAAAGAUGAUGUAUAAGGCCUGACACCUGCCCGGUGCUGGAAGGUUAAGUGGAGGGUUUAGCUUCGGCGAAGAUCUGAAAUGAAGCCCCAGUAAACGGCGGCCGUAACUAUAACGGUCCUAAGGUAGCGAAAUUCCUUGUCGGG
rnacentral:rRNA from 1 species